CAAGACCUUAAUCGACAACCCCCUCCUUUAAUUACCUAAAACUCAAUCGCUCAACUCUCUCCACCUUCCACUCAUCGCCGUUGCUGAAUAUCUACCUUUUCUUAUCCUCUCUGCCAGGCGAUUUAGGGUUUAGACACGCCACAAAAUCAAAGAAGAUUUAAUCGGGAGAAUCGAAUCCACGACUGUAAAUCGAUGGCCACACAACCUCCAAACGAUGGCUGAAGACAGACCAUCCCCAUAUCUCUGCUAUCCUCUACAGCUAGACCAUCGAAAGAAUUUGACCAAUGGGCGUUCGGAUCAGUUGAGAUGGCGUCUCAGAGCAAUGGAGGAAGAAGUAGACCGACGAGAUUAAAUUUAUUCAUAGGGCGAGGUGCUUGUGGAAUGGAUUACAAAGCCAAGCAGGUAAAUUUAUCAGUUUUAUCAUUUUGCUAGACUUGACUAUUUUAUUGUUCCUUUGUUUUGUAUAUUAAAAAAAAUAUCGAUUGGGUGGUAUUUAGUUCCUCAAUUUGUUUGCGGGUGACUAAUACUUGAUUUACAACUUAACGUCGUAAGGUAUAUCUUACUCUUUCCAAACUAUUAUUCAUGUUCAGAAAUUGAAGAAAUCAACCACAUAGGCUUCAAGUAUAAUAAUUACAGUAAUUUGAUAUAAUGCAUUAAAUGUGGCUUCCAACAAAUGGAAUAGCCUGGGUACAAAAGUGGUGAGUCGAGCAGGUGGGUGUUAACUACGAUUACAAAAACUAUAUUAGUACAAUCUAAUGAUAAAGCUAAAGAAUCUGAUGCUAAAUGAGUUGAUCAAAUAUCAAACCAAACAAACAAUCAAGGUUCUUGGGUUCCUUUCUUCACUUUCUGAUAUUGAUCAUGAGUUUUGGGAGUUUUGUAUGCUGGACUUAUGAUUGAGAAGAAAUCUGCUUUGCCGAAAUUAAUCGAGUACAACGUCCGGUUCGGAGAUCCAGAAUGUCAGGUAAGCUAGGUUCUAUCUCCAGUCACUUUUAAAACACACAUCCAAACACGCCCCCUAAGUUUCAUGAAUUUGUAACAUAAUCUCUUCCUUAGUUAAGCAGUUUUAGUCAUUUAUAUAUCCUCUGAGUAUCUAUAAACCAACUGUUGAAAAUCUGACUCAUUGGUCUGUUUAUUUUAUCUUUGGUACCUUUUCGUUCAGAUCGUAACAUUUUAAGAUAUGUUCAACUAAAAAUCAUUCAGAUGUAAUCUUGAAUCGCAAGUAUAUGGCUACUCAUUUCCUCAUCUUACAAAGAGAAAUAAUGUUGCUGGGCACCACAUAGCAUGUUGACUUACUACUUAGGAGAGGGUGAUGUUCUGUGCCUUCUCAAAAAAGUAUUGUAUACAUGAGAUUAUUGUGCUUUUACACGUACUAAGACCUGGUAAUUGCCUGGGAAUGCUAAUUUUGAGUAAUUAUGCUAUAACAUUUGUUCGUGGAACUUCAAAAAGGUACGUUUUCUUCUAUUUAUUUUAAACGGAUAAGGGUAGGGGUGUUCAUAAACUCUUAAAAUCGAUCAAACAACCCAAAUCGUGUUUAAUUUCACUCACAAAAGUCCUUAAAAGUUAAUUUUUUUUUGUUUAAAAGGUUGGAAAAUUGUUUAAAAAAUUACAGGCUUGCAAAACAUAAUAACUUUGACUACGUUGACUUUUUUUGACUUACGCCAAUGGGUGCAAACAAACAUGGUUACCUUAGAACAAUCUCUAGACCAAAAUAUGUUAUCCUUUAUGCAGUACCCAUUAUACAGUUUUAUCUUUUAAGCUUGUGGUGUUGGUUGCUACGGUUUACUAACAUAUGAUAUAAUGCAGACCCUUUGGUCGCUUGGGUAUGGAUGAUAUUGUCACAACUGUAGUUGGUAGAGCUGAGCCACAUAAUCAGGCGCUGCUUCAUCCUAACCAAGAUAGAGUGUUGACCAUUCCAUGAAAAUGCACGUUUACAAGGACUUCCUGAUCAUUAUAAACUUUGUGGACCUGUUAAAGCAAGGUAAUGUUACUAAAAAUGAGCGUGUUUUAAUAUUUUCUAACACACGGUUUCCUCAUUACUGUUCUUGACAUGGUCUUGACUUCAUCGUUAAUUUAAAAGUUAUAAAAGUUAUUACUGUUCUUAAAGUGGUACGGGUUCAAGUCUAACAAAAAAGGCAAUAGUGCCCGUCUUAUUGAGUCAUUUUGAUUUUAAAUUUCAAUGUUCAUAUGAUUUCAAUGGUUUGGUUUCAUAUAGUUACUGCUAUUGAAAUUUCCAAUAACUAAUGUUCAUGGAGUGAUUAUUCUCAGUGAUCCAUAUGAGACUUUGGUCCCUACAUAUUUAUACAACGUAAUUUCUUUUGUUUCUCUCACCAGCUUAUUGGUUUUCUUAUGCUUUAUAUGGGAUUGGAAUUCAUGGGCUUUACAUGAAUGUUUUUUUUAAAUCAAUUAUAAAAGUUGGUGUUUGCAGCUGUGUAUUUUUCUGAUAGAUCUGAAGUCCAAUGUCUGCAUCGCUGGAAAAAGGUUCUUAAUUCAGAACUUAUUAAAGGUCCAUAGACUCAUGAGGAGGAUCAAAAAGUCCUUGAGCUGGUGAAAACAUAUGGAUGGGCCCACAAAAUGGUCUCUCAUAACACAGUCUCUUCUCAGUCGUAUUGGUAAGCAGUGUCGUGAAAGGUACACGAUUUGUGUAUAAAUCUAAAAUCUUGCGAGAUGUGGAUUAACUAUUAAAGGGAUUAAUAAUUUGUCUAGCAAACUUCUUCAAU